AGAGUUUGAUCCUGGCUCAGAUUGAACGCUGGCGGAAUGCUUUACACAUGCAAGUCGAACGGCAGCACGGGGGCAACCCUGGUGGCGAGUGGCGAACGGGUGAGUAAUACAUCGGAACGUGCCCAGUCGUGGGGGAUAACGUAGCGAAAGCUACGCUAAUACCGCAUACGAUCUGUGGAUGAAAGCGGGGGACCGUAAGGCCUCGCGCGAUUGGAGCGGCCGAUGGCAGAUUAGGUAGUUGGUGGGGUAAAGGCCUACCAAGCCGACGAUCUGUAGCUGGUCUGAGAGGACGACCAGCCACACUGGGACUGAGACACGGCCCAGACUCCUACGGGAGGCAGCAGUGGGGGAUUUUGGACAAUGGGCGCAAGCCUGAUCCAGCCAUUCCGCGUGCAGGAUGAAGGCCCUCGGGUUGUAAACUGCUUUUGUACGGAACGAAAAGGCUUUCUCUAAUACAGAGAGCUGAUGACGGUACCGUAAGAAUAAGCACCGGCUAACUACGUGCCAGCAGCCGCGGUAAUACGUAGGGUGCAAGCGUUAAUCGGAAUUACUGGGCGUAAAGCGUGCGCAGGCGGUGAUGUAAGACAGGUGUGAAAUCCCCGGGCUUAACCUGGGAACUGCAUUUGUGACUGCAUCGCUGGAGUGCGGCAGAGGGGGAUGGAAUUCCGCGUGUAGCAGUGAAAAUGCGUAGAUAUGCGGAGGACACCGAUGGCGAAGCAAUCCCCUGGGCCUGCACUGACGCUCAUG
rnacentral:rRNA from 1 species